rnacentral:rRNA from 1 species
AGUGAACGCUGGCGGUAGGCCUAACACAUGCAAGUCGAACGGCAGCACAGUAAGAGCUUGCUCUUACGGGUGGCGAGUGGCGGACGGGUGAGGAAUACAUCGGAAUCUACUUUUUCGUGGGGGAUAACGUAGGGAAACUUACGCUAAUACCGCAUACGACCUACGGGUGAAAGCAGGGGAUCUUCGGGCCUUGCGCGAUUGAAUGAGCCGAUGUCGGAUUAGCUAGUUGGCGGGGUAAAGGCCCACCAAGGCGACGAUCCGUAGCUGGUCUGAGAGGAUGAUCAGCCACACUGGAACUGAGACACGGUCCAGACUCCUACGGGAGGCAGCAGUGGGGAAUAUUGGACAAUGGGCGCAAGCCUGAUCCAGCCAUACCGCGUGGGUGAAGAAGGCCUUCGGGUUGUAAAGCCCUUUUGUUGGGAAAGAAAAGCAGCAGGUUAAUACCCCGCUGUGCUGACGGUACCCAAAGAAUAAGCACCGGCUAACUUCGU